UACGUAGGCAGCGAGCGUUGUUCGGAGUUACUGGGCGUAAAGGGUGUGUAGGCGGUUCUUUAAGUUUGGUGUGAAAUCUCCCGGCUCAACCGGGAGGGUGCGCCGAAUACUGAGGGACUUCGAGUGCGGGAGAGGAAAGUGGAAUUCCUGGUGUAGCGGUGAAAUGCGUAGAUAUUGGGAGGAACACCAGUGGCGAAGGCGGCUCACUGGACCGGUACUGACGCUGAUGCGCGAAAGCGUGGGGAGCAAACGGG
rnacentral:rRNA from 1 species